GGUUCAUUCAAAUUUCUUCCCUAUCAACUUUCGAUGGUAAGGUAUUGGCUUACCAUGGUUUCAACGGGUAACGGGGAAUUAGGGUUCGAUUCCGGAGAGGGAGCCUGAGAAACGGCUACCACAUCCAAGGAAGGCAGCAGGCGCGCAAAUUACCCAAUCCCGACCGGGGAGGUAGUGACAAUAAAUACUGAUACAGGGCUCUUUUGGGUCUUGUAAUCGGAAUGAGUACAAUUUAAACCCCUUAACGAGGAACAAUUGGAGGGCAAGUCUGGUGCCAGCAGCCGGGUAAUUCCAGCUCCAAUAGCGUAUAUUACAGUUGUAGCAGUUAAAAAGCUCGUAGUUG
rnacentral:rRNA from 1 species